GAAUAAAAUCAACCCUUUCUUAGGUUUGACCUCAGAUCAGACAAGGAUACCCGCUGAACUUAAGCAUAUCAAUAAGCGGAGGAAAAGAAACCAACAGGGAUUGCCUCAGUAACGGCGAGUGAAGCGGCAACAGCUCAAAUUUGAAAUCUGGGAUUUUUAGUCUCCGAGUUGUAAUUUGAAGAGGAUGUUUCGGUUGGGACCUGGGCCUAAGUUCCUUGGAACAGGACGUCGUAGAGGGUGAGAAUCCCGUACACGGCUCCCGGUCUCCUUCCAUGUGUAACUCCCUCGAAGAGUCGAGUUGUUUGGGAAUGCAGCUCAAAAUGGGUGGUAAAUUUCAUCUAAAGCUAAAUAUUGGCGAGAGACCGAUAGCGCACAAGUAGAGUGAUCGAAAGAUGAAAAGCACUUUGAAAAGAGAGUUAAACAGUACGUGAAAUUGUUGAAAGGGAAGCGCUUGCAAUCAGACUUGCCUUCAGUUGAUCAACGUUCCUUUUGGUUCGUGCACUCUGCUGUUUGCAGGCCAGCAUCAGUUGGUGCGGUGGGACAAAGGUUGCGGGAAUGUGGCUCACUUCGGUGAGUGUUAUAGCCCGUUUCGUAAUGCCACCAGCGCCGAUUGAGGUCCGCGGUUCGUCCUAGGAUGCUGGCUUAAUGGUUGUAAGCGACCCGUCUUGAAACACGGACCAAGGAGUCUAACAUCUAUGCGAGUCUUUGGGUGUCAAACCCAUGGGCGAAAUGAAAGUGAACGGAGGUGGGAGUCUUCGGAUGCACCAUCGACCGAUCCUGAUGUUCUCGGAUGGAUUUGAGUAGGAGCAUAGCUGUUGGGACCCGAAAGAUGGUGAACUAUGCCUGAAUAGGGUGAAGCCAGAGGAAACUCUGGUGGAGGCUCGCAGCGGUUCUGACGUGCAAAUCGAUCGUCAAAUUUGGGUAUAGGGGCGAAAGACUAAUCGAACCAUCUAGUAGCUGGUUCCUGCCGA
rnacentral:rRNA from 1 species